UAGCAACUUGGUAAAGAAUUCCUAAUAAGCGUCUUUACCGAGCUCUUGGUAAUUACGCGUCCUACAAAAAGUAUACGGGAUUAUUACCGUAUCAAUACCAAACGGGUAACUAGCCUUCCACCGCAAUAUUUUAAGCUAUCUUUAUAAUUUUGGUAAUAAAUUUCUACCAGCUGGUAAUAAUGUCGUUCAAACUUAUAUAGCACUCUUUACCAUAAUUUUAAUCAAGUGCAGUACAAAUUUUUUCCGUUGUGGUGCUGAUGAGAUCUACAUUUUGGUGUAGUUUAUUACCACAGAGUUUUAGUUUCCGCUCAGCUCAACUCAAGUCAACAUGCCGAAAUAAUCCCCGUGUCCAAUUCCAAAUUCUGCAUGUGGGAAAAACUGAUAAAAACUUUUGGAAAUUAAAUAGGAUUUUAGGAAACAGUGAAACGAAAAUUUGAGUUGGAAAUCGGAGCAGAGAUUUUUCUGCAAGACGACCAAGGGGGCGGAGAUCGACGACGAAGUAUUCCUAUCCUUGCUGAAAACCUUAUAACCCAAAACUUUGAAUUCUUUGUCAAAGGCGAAAUACAAACCGAAGUAAAAUUGAAUCCGGCCUGUCCAGUUUCAUCAAUAAUUUACGUUGCACGUCCUGAUGAGACGUCGAUAUCCAGUAAUGGUUUCCGAAAAACCCAAAUUUCCAAUGAGGUUGAUAUUUUCAGUCAGAUUGUAAACGCUGCAACGACUGAGAGCGCCGAAAUUUCCGUUUAGUAGCAGAGUGCAAUCAGAAAAACUGCUUCGAUAAACCGUCGUCGACAACUUUAGUUAAUGAAUUGGUUGCGUAGUUAUGUAAUUGAG